rnacentral:rRNA from 1 species
UUUGUUAGUUUUUUAUAACUAGUGACGAAGUUAACACGAUAACCAUUCCGCCUUGUGAGUACGACUGCAAAGUUGAAAACAAAAAAAUUAGUCGGUCUCGGAGCAAACGAAGUGAAGGAUGUUAUUUAAUUCGAUAAUC